AGCUCCAAUAGCGUAUAUUAAAGUUGUUGCAGUUAAAAAGCUCGUAGUUGGAUUUCGGAAUGGGUCAGUCGGUCCGCCUUCUGCGUGUGUCACUGGCUGGUCCGUUCUUCUUCGCAAAGACUACGUUUGCUCUUCAUCGAGUGAGCGUAGGAUUUACGGCGUUUACUUUGAAAAAAUUAGAGUGUUCAAAGCAGGCAGUAAGUGUGCCGGAAUACAUGAGCAUGGAAUAAUGGAACAGGACUACGGUCACUGCACUUUUCCGUUGGUUUCGGAGGGCCGAAGUAAUGAUUAAGAGGGACAGUUGGGGGCAUCCGUAUUUCGCAGUCAGAGGUGAAAUUCUUGGAUCUGCGAAAGACGAACGAGUGCGAAAGCAUUUGCCAAGAGUGUUUUCAUUAAUCAA
rnacentral:rRNA from 1 species